rnacentral:rRNA from 1 species
CAAUAGCGUAUAUUAAAGUUGUUGCGGUUAAAAAGCUCGUAGUUGGAUUUCUGCUGAGGACGAUCGGUCCGCCCUCUGGGUGAGUAUCUGGCUCGGCCUUGGCAUCUUCUUGGAGAACGUUACUGCACUUGACUGUGUGGUGCGGUAUCCAGGACUUUUACUUUGAGGAAAUUAGAGUGUUUCAAGCAGGCGCACGCCUUGAAUACAUUAGCAUGGAAUAAUAAGAUAGGACCUUGGUUCUAUUUUGUUGGUUUCUAGAGCUGAGGUAAUGAUUAAUAGGGAUAGUUGGGGGCAUUCGUAUUUAACUGUCAGGGGUGAAAUUCUUGGAUUUGUUAAAGACGGACUACUGCGAAAGCAUUUGCCAAGGAUGUUUUCAUUGA